rnacentral:lncRNA from 1 species
UUGACAUUUAUUAUAUCAUCAUGCACAACUCACUAGCACUAAGUAAAAUCAAGUUCAAUCGGUUGAUUAUUAAUUAUGCAACUGUUCGUUAUUUCUCUUGGUUUAUAUUGAUCUAAUCAUGAUCAUGGUUUUCUUGAGCCAGAGAUCGCUGAGCCAAAAGGAAAAGAGAAUCAACAAGCGGUUGCCACCAUCAUAUCCUCAUGCUUCGAAGGACUGCCCUCACCUACGAGCUUCUCGGAAGCGGCAUAAGCCGGCACAUUUCUCAGCAUCAUCAUAGCCUGACGAGCAUACACACCAACUACUUGUUCGGCACACACGAUCUCAACACGAGACUUCGGAUCGACAAUGGUUCGGUAAACGCGUACUUUAGGCACAAGUUUAAAUUCAACUUGCUUUUUAUUAGGCACGAAUUUGCAUUAGACUCGUUUAUUGUUAGACACGAGUUUACAAAAACUCGUCUUUGACUAGGCAUGAGUUUACAGAAACUCUCCUUUUACUAGGCACGAGUUCUCAGUAAAUUCGCCUCUGUCUUAGCAUGAGUCAAGUAAACUCGUCUUUCGCUAAGCACGAGUUUAAAGCAAACUUGCUUUUUACUAGGCACAAGUUCGAAAUAAACUCGCCUAAACCGUCAUAGGCAUGAAUGUGUCUAGUUCAUUGUCUAAUAAACCCUAUUCGUAAACUUCACAGAGAUCGAUUUCAUCUCUCUCAACGAACUUGGGGGGCUUACUGUUGGGGGUGUAUUUACAUCCUCCCUCAAGGCCUAUUAGACAUUGAAUUAGGUCUAUAUUGCUAAAAAGCCCUAGGCUUCAUCUUUCUCUAAAUAAGGAGCUACCUCCUUCUUAGGAAGGAUCUCUUCUUCCCCAUUUUUAGACCUAACACUUCAUACAAAGAGUUUAUUGAUUCUUAGAUUUAUUUACACUUGUAAUCAUACAUGUAAUACAAUCUUUGAUCUAUAAAUUCUUUUUGAUGUUCAUUUUCUAUUUGAUUUCUAUGUUAAUUUCUCUUAAGCCUCAAGAAUUUAAGAAAUAGAUUUUUUAAAUUCUUUAUUGUUAUGAAUCCAACAUAAACACCAUUUUUUGAUCAAACAACCACAUAACACCAAAAGUAGUGUAGGUGGAUUGACAACAUCCGGGUACUGAACGUGGUCGUGCUUAAUCUUAUUGCAGUUAGAAACUCUUGUUAUUAGAUAUACAUACUGAUAAGUAAAUAGAAACAUUAUUGAUAAGCAGUAUAUAUAUAACAACCUUAGAGCUUCAAGGCCCAAUAUCUGCUCACGUGGAAUCCAUCCUUCCACGUUCAUUAGGUCUAACCAGUGUCCAACAAUGUCCAAGGUUAUGCGGAAAUCCCAACGCCUAAAUCAACCUCACACAUGAGCACUUCACAGGAUGAUUUAGAAGACUUUAUUAAGAUAUUUUAGUCAUGAUAUCAACGAACCAGAUCAACAUUUGAUGGAAACCUUCAUCCGACAAUUGUCCCCAUGGAAGUUUGGAUCGGCAUGGAACUGAUGUGUACAGCUCAGCUGGCCAAUAGUGCAAGAAAUGAUGCUUACUUUUAUGGUAAUAUACUUUUGAUUGACCAUAGAGGUAACCAAUGCCUCCCAUAUAAUCUCAAGGAUUGUAUAAGAACACAAUAUAAAGAACUCUCUUUAUUAGCUUAAGAACUUUCUCAAAACUUAAGCUCCACACAAUCUCUCAAACUCUUCAUAUCUAUGCAACACUCUUGCAUCUUAUAUAUAGAUGUUAUUUCCUAAACUCUUAGGACUAACUUUUCUAAACUCUUAGGAAUUAACUUUCCUAAACUCUUAGGAAUUAACUUAUUCUAAUCCUUACUCAAAAUAAGAAAGAUGUAACUUAGAUCCUAAGUUAACCAUGUUUAUCUCUAACAUUCUCCCCUUUAAACUUGAAGUUAACUUCUUCAAUAUCUUGAACUCCUACAAGCUCUUUCAUUUCUCUAAACUUGAUUCUUCCUAAAGCUUUAGUUAGAAUGUCAGCCUUCUGUUCUGUUCCUGGAAUGUGCUGGACGUCAACCUGCUCAUUCUCGAUACAUUCACGGAUGAAGUGAUAGCGUUUAUGUAUAUGCUUACUACGACCAUGAAAAACCGGGUUCCUUGUAAGCGCUAUUGCUGAUUUGUUAUCCAAACGAAUCACAACUCUUUCUCUUGUCUCCUUGGUGAUCUCUUCCAACAGUUCUUGAAGCCAUAUGGCUUGUUUUGCAGCUUCUGUAGCGGCCAUGAAUUCAGCUUCACAUGAUAAAAGAGCCACAGUCUCUUGUUUCUGAGAGCACCAAGUGAUUGGACACUUCUUUAAGUAAAAUAUGUGUCAUGUGGUGCUUCUACCAUCAUCCUCGUCUAUAUUGUGGCUUGAGUCGCUAAAUCCUUCCAGUCUUAAUGCGUUUGUGCGUUCGUACACGAGACCCAGCUUCGACGAUCCUUUCAAGUACCUCAAGACUUGCUUAAGAGCUGCUCCAUGAGACGUCUUAGGACCAUGCAUGUACCUGCUCAAAAGGCAUACGCUAAAAGCAAGAUCGGGGUGUGUGUGUGUAACAGAUAGCGUAGACACCGUAUCUUUCUCCUAUAAUCCUUCUCAUCUAUGCUUUCUUCUUUAUCUGCUUUUGAGACCUUUAAGCCAGACUCCAUUGGUGUCUGGACUGCAUUACAUUCUUCCAUACCGGUUUCAGACAAGAUCUUCUUAGCAUAUCAUUCCUGACUCAAUGUUAUUCUUCCACGUUCUUUAUUCACUUCGAUACCAAGAUAGUAUGUUAACAAUCCGAGAUCACUCAUCUCAAAGUUACUUGACAUCUCUCUCUUGAACUCAUGUAUCAUACUUUGCUUUGAUCCCAUGAUUAGUAAGUCGUCAACAUACACAGCUACUAGGAGAAGAUGAUUUUUCUCUUCCUUGCGAUACAAGGAAGGUUCCUUUGAACAUCUCUUGAAGUUUAAUUUCUCUAAGACUUUAUUCAGCUUCUCGUUCAAGGCUCUUGGGGCUUGUCUUAGGCCGUACAGAGCUUUAUUAAGUUUGUAUACUUUCUCUUCGUGACCUCUAACUUCAAAGCCUUCAGGUUGACUUACGUAUAAAACUUCUUUUAAUUCUCCGUGGAGGAAAGCGGUUUUGACGUCUAGGUGAUGGAUCUCCCAUUCGUUUGAGGCAGCUAGAGCAAUAAGAAACCUCACGGUCUCAAUCUUGGCAACUGGUGCAAAGACUUCUUCAAAAUUGAUACCGUGACGUUGAAUAUAACCUUUAGCCACCAGCCUUGACUUGUACUUAUUUAUGCUCCCAUCUGCAUUCCGUUUUAUCUUAAAGAUCCAUUUUAAUCCAAUUGGUUUAGCUCCUGGAGGUAAGUCAACGAGAUCCCAAGUUUUAUUCUUCACAAUCGAUGAGAUUUCUUCUUCACAGGCUUCACGCCAUACCUUCUCCUCCAUUGCAUCUCUGAAAUUCCAUGGUUCUUGAUCAAGAAGAAGCAAGAGGCGUUCUCCUUCUACUUCGGCAAGGUAGAUGUAGUCAUCGAGAUAACCAGGUUUCUUUGAGAUUCUAGUUGAUCUUCGUACUUGAAACUGCUAUGUUUGCUCUUCAUCAUGAUGAUCGCUGUCACCAUCCUCGACUGUAUCAUCUUCUUCAUGAGUGUUAUCGGCCUGGUUGUCAAUAGUAGACUCGUUAUCUUCUUCCUCUUGUUGAUUCACAUGAUCUCCAAGUGAAAUUUUAAACAUUUCGGGCUUCUCUAUUACUACACGAUCCGUCUUGUUCCAUUCCCAAGAUUUGUUUUCAUUAAAGACCACGUCCCUGCUCACUACUAUUCUCUGGCGUGUGGGAUCAAAUAGUCUAUAUGCCUUAAAGCCUCGCUCGGUUCCAAGGUGCACGAGAGUAUGAGACCUAUUAUCGAGUUUUUUUAAGUUUGUCGCCUCUGUUUUUGCAUAAGCAACACAUCCAAAUACUCUUAAGUGAAUGAUGUUUGGUUUUCUCCCUUUAAAAACUUCAUACGGCGUCUGUGAGAUCAGGGUCUUGGUUGCUAUACGAUUUAUCAAGUAAGUUGAGUGCCUCACAGCUUCUCCCCAAAGGUAAUUUGGUACGUCCAUGUACUUCAAAAUGCUUCUUGUCAUCUCUAAUAGGGUUCUAUUUCGCCUUUCUACCACUCCGUUCUGCUGUGGUGUAUAAGGAGCCGUUAAGUGACGUUGUAUACCUGAUUCUUCGCAGAACUUUUGAAACUCCAAGCUUGUGAACUCUCCACCUCUGUCUGUCCUCAGCGUCUUGAUGGGUGUACCAGUUUCUCGUUCAACUAAUGCCUUGAAUCGUUUGAAUUUUUCGAACGCUUCUCCCUUUUCCUUUAACGUAAUAGACCACAUAUAGCGUGAGUAGUCAUCUAUGAGAACGAAUAUGUAUCUGUUUCUCCCUAUGGUAGAUGGUGUAAUCGGUCCGCAGAGAUCUCCAUGAAUGAGUUCUAGUAUCUCGGAGGCUCGAUACGAUGUAGCUGCUGGGAAUGAGUGUCUUGUUUGCUUUGCACGCAGACAAGAAUCACAUGUUUCUUUCUCGACUUUGAGCUUGGGAAUUCCUAUCACAAGUUCUUUUCCUAUCAUGGCUUUCAUAGCAUCAGUUCCGAGAUGACCUAGAUGAGCAUGCCAUCGUGAGGCUUCGCUUUGAGUUUGAAGUUGUAGGCACGUUGGUUCUUCUAUUUCCAUUGCAACUUUAUAUAAACGGUUCCUUGAUCUUGAUGCCUUGACUAUCAAGUUACCAUCUUUGUCACGGAGUGUAAGAUAGUUUUCUCGCAUUCGUACAUCGCAUCCUGAUUAUGUGGCUUGAACGAGGCUUAUGAUAUUGCUUUUGAGUUUUGGAAUGUAGUAGACAUCUGCAAGGAUCUUUCUCUCUCCGUUGGGAGUGAUAAACAGAACGGCUCCCUUUCCCUUGAUGUCUAUUCUCGAAUCAUCUCUGAAACGGACCUUCCCGGUAAUCAUGUUGUCAAUAGUCCUGAAGAAGCUGCGGUUUCCUGUCAUAUGGUUAGAUGCUCCAUUGUCUAAGUACCAUAUCUUAUCUCCAUCAGUACUAGACUCAAGAUCUUUAGGUUUCACGUUCCGUUUGUUGAGAAAUACAACCUCAUGCAUUAAAAGUCCAUCAGCUUCGUGAGUUUCAUCUCCAUCUUUGCUCUCGGUUGUCUCUUGUAGCUUGAGAAGUCUAUCUGAAACAUGUGAUGUUUGUUUUAUCUCUACUGUCCCAAUAAGAUCUUCCGUGCCCUCUUCCUCUGCCGUAGUAGCGGUUACUUCGACCGCGACCUCUGUAUCCUCCAUCUCCUCUGUGUCCUCCGUCUCCUCUAUAUCCUCCAUUUCCUCUAUUUCCUCCAUCUCGGUAAUUUUGAGAUUAUGUGUUGCUGUACAUGAGUUUGCUCUGAUUUUCUUGUGUAUCUUCUUCUUCUUCUUCCGCCAUGAUACGCUCCUCGUAUGCUUUUAAACGUCCCACAACGUCUUCAAAACUCGCGGUGUUUAAGUCCAAGAGUUGUUCAAGUGAAGCAACUAUAUGAAUGUACUUCUUGCGUGGCAACCCUUGAAGGAACUUCUUUACAAGUUUUGCUUCAUUCAUACUUUCACCCAGUGCGGCGGAUUUUGAAGAUAUCUCUGUUAACUUGCCCACGAAGUCAUCAAUCUUAUCAGUUUCUUUCAUCUUUAGCCGUUCGAACUCAGUCAUCAAGGUCUGUAGUCUUGCUUCACGAACCCUAUCUGCUCCUACAUGUCGGGUCUUGAUCGCAUCCCAAACCUUCUUUGCGGUAUCAAGUGCUCCAACUUGUAGGAUCUCUCCGGAAUAGAUUGAAAGAGAAGAGCUGUCGCCAAGUCAUUCUUGUCUCCUUCUAUUGAGUCGCUCUCGACCACUUCCCAAACUUUAUGAACCCUAAGCAGCAUCUUCAUCCGUAUCGCCCAUACGAUGUAAUUCGUUGUUGUUAACAUCGGACACUUUAUGGAUGAACCUCCAUCCUUCUUGGUUGUCGUCGUUACCAAGUCAUCCAUGAUUCUUGAUCAAACUCUUGAUCGACUUUUGAACCUGGCUCUGAUACCAAAUAUAAUCUCAAGGAUUGUAUAAGAACACAAUAUAAAGAACUCUCUUUAUUAGCUUAAGAACUUUCUCAAAACUUAAGCUCUCACACAAUCUCUCAAACUCUUCAUAUCUAUGCAACACUCUUGCAUCUUAUAUAGAGAUGUUAUUUCCUAAAUUCUUAGGAACUAACUUUCCUAAACUCUUAGGAAUUAACUUUCCUAAACUCUUAGGAAUUAACUUAUUCUAAUCCUUACUCAAAAUAGGAUAGAUGUUACUUAGAUCCUAAGUUAACUUCAUGUUUAUCUCUAACAUCCCAGCAUGUUCCCAAUUGCAGCUUUACCAACGUCCAAAGUUUUAGCGUCAAUCUAGAAUCACAUGAUCACAGAGAUUGGCAUAUUUACACUAAAUCAUUGACUAUAUAACGCUAGCGCUAAGAAACUUAUGAGUAGAAUCAAACCUCUUCAGAAAGGUUGAAGCAUUCCCUGAAUUUUUCAUCAAAUGCUACAUGUUUCUCUGCAAGUAGAGUAGUGAGUUGCGAACCUACAUGGAUUGAAAAUGGAAAGUUAGGAAAAUGCACCGGAUAAUUAAUACCAUUACUAUAGGUAAUCAAAAUAGAUAUGCAUAAUAAUAUACAAGUGCACACAACAAAAUUAAAAUGAUUAUGCAAAAGUUUAUUGUGUUUAGGAAAAUGUCAUCAAUCAAUCCAUCACUAUCAUAACAUCAAUAUAUGCUCGAAGGUGCCAGGCUUGAAAAACCUGUAAGAGUGUUUGUACGAUCCUCCAUAUCGGCAGUUUUUUCAUCUAUCCCAGAUAUGAAGGCAAUAUCUAUAGUAGAGAACUGGCUCAUAGUGGAAAUCUGCAUGGCAACAGAUAAAUCAUAGGAUCCAUAUGAGUAAAUGUGGGAUGGUGGUUUUAUUCUUAAAUAACCAUGUAUAUAUAUCUUGAUAAAGACUGUUUUACCUGAAAAACAUAAACGUUGGAAUCAUCCUCCGCAGUGUCAGAGAGUUUAACUUGCCCAAACAUAUUUUCCUGAAAAUAUACAAGCCGAGAGGCAUGUAAGCACAUGUGGUCUUUACAAUAGUAUAUAUAUAUGAAAGACCUGCAAAAUUGAGAAUAUCACUAACAGUCAGGUUUUUCUGAACAAGAUCAGAUAGAUUGACAGAGUUGGACGUCUUGAACCCGCAAUAAUGACUUACGAGACCAGGAGUCUGCAAAUAAGGAGAAGCUAAAACAGUUAGAACACCAUGUUUCCAGCGAAGGAAGUAACUAGAAUCCUAUGAUCUCUGAAGACCACUACAAAUUAAAGAAAAAGCUACCUCUGACUUUAAGUGCAACUGCCAGUUUCCUACAUCUACUUUUCGGUUCCG